GAUGAACGCUGGCGGCGUGCUUAACACAUGCAAGUCGAACGAAGCAUUUAGAACAGAUUACUUCGGUUUGAAGUUCUUUAUGACUGAGUGGCGGACGGGUGAGUAACGCGUGGGUAACCUGCCUUGUACUGGGGGAUAGCAGCUGGAAACGGCUGGUAAUACCGCAUAAGCGCACAAUGUUGCAUGACAUGGUGUGAAAAACUCCGGUGGUAUAAGAUGGACCCGCGUCUGAUUAGCUAGUUAGUGAGAUAACAGCCCACCAAGGCGACGAUCAGUAGCCGACCUGAGAGGGUGACCGGCCACAUUGGGACUGAGACACGGCCCAGACUCCUACGGGAGGCAGCAGUGGGGAAUAUUGCACAAUGGAGGAAACUCUGAUGCAGCGACGCCGCGUGAGUGAAGAAGUAAUUCGUUAUGUAAAGCUCUAUCAGCAGGGAAGAUAGUGACGGUACCUGACUAAGAAGCUCCGGCUAAAUACGUG
rnacentral:rRNA from 1 species